rnacentral:rRNA from 1 species
AACGAACGCUGGCGGCAUGCCUAACACAUGCAAGUCGAACGAGACCUUCGGGUCUAGUGGCGCACGGGUUCGUAACGCGUGGGAACCUGCCCUUAGGUUCGGAAUAACUCUCCGAAAGGGGUGCUAAUACCGGAUAAUGUCUUCGGACCAAAGAUUUAUCGCCUUUGGAUGGGCCCGCGUUGGAUUAGCUAGUUGGUAGGGUAAAAGCCUACCAAGGCGACGAUCCAUAGCUGGUCUGAGAGGAUGAUCAGCCACACUGGGACUGAGACACGGCCCAGACUCCUCCGGGAGGCAGCAGUGGGGAAUAGUGGACAAUGGGCGAAAGCCUGAUCCAGCAAUGCCGCGUGAGUGAUGAAGGCCUUAGGGUUGUAAAGCUCUUUUACCCGGGAUGAUAAUGACAGUACCGGGAGAAUAAGCUCCGGCUAACUCCGUG